CGCGCCGCAGGGUCGCGACCAGCGCGGCGCUGCCCGUCCCCCUCACCGCCCCGGCCGAGCCCCGCUGCGGAGCGGAGUCUCCCGCCUGCCCUUUGCGGUGUUUCCUCCCCGGCAGGUCCCGCACGGCGCUGAGGCCCCUAAACCGACUGGCCUGGGGGCUGUCGGGGGUCAGCCGGGCGGUUGGGAGCGAGAGGAGCCUGGGCCGAAUCACUUGGGCUCGUGCCGGCCGAGGUCGUGUUUUGGGGUCUGCAAGAGCCAGAAAAUGUCUGCGGAGCCCCUGACUAUUUUGUGGAGGUCCAAAGACUCUUUUGGGAAUUAUAAAGGGGAGCGGGAGGAGACUGGAAGGUGAGGGCUGAGAUGGCCUGAAGCACUGUAGUGAAGGGGGACGAGAUGGGUUGAAGUCUCUGGAAGAGAGCCCGAGACAUCUGAUGUUUCUGCAUGCUUUCUGCUGGUUCUCGCUUGCUCCUUGUUCUCUUGUCCGGUGCUGGGUGCUCCCCUUGCCACAGGAGUCAUGGAGAGCCUGGUGUAGAAAUGGGACUGUGCCCCAUGGGCGGUGCAGGGGUUUGUGUUAGUGAGCAUUGUCUCUGUGGAUAACAGAAGGGACUCCUGCUUACUGCUAGGAGCCAGAGCAUCUGUGACAUUUCUUUAGUCUUCAGUAAAGAUCUUCAGUGAGUUACCUACCAUGGGAGUCGGGAUAUCAGCAGCCUCCAAAGUCUGUAAAGAAAGAAAUAAAGUAACUGUUGGGCCAUCAGACUGGAUGUCAGUAUCAGCCACAGGGAAUGGAAUAAUGCUCCUUGCUGUUGGAAGGAAGGCUCACCUCCAUGCAGGGAUGUUCUUCCCCCUGGCCUGCAUUCUGCUGUUCCUGCUGGAAGUGAUAUCCAGUAGGACAUGGAUAAUGAGCACAGCUGAAUUCUCAUGAGUAACAAAACCCUGCCCCUGCUCUUUACUCUGAAAGGUUUUCCAGAGCUCGGCAGUUAAGGACGACUCCAAACCUGAAAAACAAGAUGGCAGGUAACUACAAUUAAAACAAACAGAUAAUUUUUUCAACAUCUUAAUCACAUUUGCAAGAUAAAUACACUGCCAAGCACUAGUUAUGUUCUUAAAUAUUGUCUCAUUCACAGUUAAAACCUUUUCAUCUUGUUGACAGGAGUGGUUAUCUCCUCCAUACAUUAAAUCAUUCCAUGAAGUAUUUCUGUAUGUUUCUUAUAUUUGAAUCUCCAGUAUCCUGAUUGUUUCUGUGGAAUUUCCAUAUUUACUCUCUACAAAGUACAGUUGCCUGGCAGUUCUUUUUCUAGCUGCUGCUUUUUCCUGAUAUGGUUUGGACUUCCUGCAUAAUUUGUACAAAGCAUUCUCUUCUAUAAAUGUAAUUUUAAUUUUGUUUUAGUAAAACUGGGAUAUUCUGAUACGAGUUUAAAAGAGAUAAAUUCUUCAUACUUCUCAGCUAAAAUAAUGAAAUGCUGCCUUGAACCUUUAGAAAUGAGAUAAUAUUAUUUUUAUUAGAUUAUGAAACUGCAAGUAAUGACAGAUAAAUGCAGAUACAUCAUUAUUCUUAAAAAUCUAAACUGCUAAUCAAUAAAAGAUGUUAUUCCAGAAUACUGACA
ensembl:lncRNA